GUCAGGUUCAGUGGUAUGCACCUGUGGUCCCAGCUACUCAGGAGGCUAAGGCAAGAGGAUCACUUGAGCCCAGGAGUUCUGGGCUGCAGUGUGCUAUACCGAUUAGGUGUCUGCACUAAAUUCGGUAUCAAUAUGAUGACCUCCCGAGAUCAAGGGGCUGGGGGUAACCACCAGGCUGCCUAAGAAUGGUGAACUGGUCCAGGUCAGAAAUGGGCCAGGUCAAAACUCUCAUGCUUAUUAGUAGUGGGAUAGUGCCUGUAAAUAUCUACUCCACGUAAGGCUGGGCAACAAAGUGAGACCUCAGCUCUU
rfam:Gorilla gorilla gorilla genomic chromosome, chr17, whole genome shotgun sequence